rnacentral:rRNA from 1 species
UACGUAGGGGCAAGCGUUGUCCGGAUUUACUGGGCGUAAAGAGCGCGUAGGCGGAAGUUUAAGCGGUGCUUGAAAGCCCCGGCUCAACCGGGGAGAGUGGUGCCGAACUGGACUUCUUGAGGCGAUAGAGGAGAGUGGAAUUCCGGGUGUAGCGGUGAAAUGCGUAGAGAUCCGGAGGAACACCAGUGGCGCAGGCGGCCUCUCUGGGUCGGCCCUGACGCUGAGGCGCGAAAGCGUGGGGGAGCGAACGGG